GCUGGGUGCGGUGGUGCACACCAGUAAUCCCAGCACCUUGGGAGGCUGAGACAGGAGGAUCUCAGAGUUCAAAGCCAGCCUCAGCAAAAGUGAGGCACUAAGCAACUCAGUAAAACUCUGUCUCCA
rnacentral:sRNA from 1 species